rnacentral:rRNA from 1 species
AGAGUUUGAUCAUGGCUCAGAAUCAACGCUGGCGGCGUGCCUAACACAUGCAAGUCGAGCGAGAGGAGGUAGCAAUACCUUAGUAAAGCGGCGCACGGGUGAGUAACACGUGGAUAACCUGCCUCGAAGUGGGGAAUAACCCCGGGAAACCGGAGCUAAUACCGCAUAUUCUGACGAGAUCUGCGGAUUUUGUCAGGAAAGGAGCAAUUCGCUUUGAGAGGGGUCCGCGGCUGAUUAGCUAGUUGGUGAGGUAAUGGCUCACCAAGGCCACGAUCAGUAGCCGGUCUGAGAGGACGGUCGGCCACACUGGAACUGAGACACGGUCCAGACUCCUACGGGAGGCAGCAGUGGGGAAUUUUUCGCAAUGGGGGCAACCCUGACGAAGCAACGCCGCGUGGGUGAUGAAGUAUCUCGGUACGUAAAACCCUUUCGACGGGGACGAAACCGCAAGGUUGACGGUACCCGUAGAAGAAGCCCCGGCUAACUCCGUGCCAGCAGCCGCGGUAAUACGGGGGGGGCAAGCGUUGUUCGGAAUUACUGGGCGUAAAGGGCGCGUAGGCGGUUCGCUAAGUUGGAUGUGAAAACUCUGGGCUUAACCCAGAGCCUGCAUCCAAAACUGGCAAACUUGAGUACUGGAGGGGAAAGCGGAAUUCCUGGUGUAGCGGUGAAAUGCGUAGAUAUCAGGAGGAACACCGGUGGCGAAGGCGGCUUUCUGGACAGUAACUGACGCUGAGGCGCGAAAGCUAGGGGAGCAAACAGGAUUAGAUACCCUAGUAGUCC